rnacentral:tRNA from 1 species
CGUAGUUUAAGGUUGAUAUAAUUUAAACUUUGGGUGUUUAAGGUUCCAUUUUAAUGGACUAACUGACUA